AUUGAACGCUGGCGGCAGGCCUAACACAUGCAAGUCGAGCGGAUGAAGGGAGCUUGCUCCUGGAUUCAGCGGCGGACGGGUGAGUAAUGCCUAGGAAUCUGCCUGGUAGUGGGGGAUAACGUCCGGAAACGGGCGCUAAUACCGCAUACGUCCUGAGGGAGAAAGUGGGGGAUCUUCGGACCUCACGCUAUCAGAUGAGCCUAGGUCGGAUUAGCUAGUUGGUGGGGUAAAGGCCUACCAAGGCGACGAUCCGUAACUGGUCUGAGAGGAUGAUAAGUCACACUGGAACGGAGACACGGUCAAGACGCCUAAGGGAGGCAGCAGUGGGGAAUAUUGGACAAUGGGCGAAAGCAUGAUCCAGCCAUGCCGCGUGUGUGAAGAAGGUCUUCGGAUUGUAAAGCACUUUAAGUUGGGAGGAAGGGCAGUAAGUUAAUACCUUGCUGUUUUGACGGUACCAACAGAAUAAGCACCGGCUAACUUCGUG
rnacentral:rRNA from 1 species